rnacentral:rRNA from 1 species
UACGGAGGGAGCUAGCGUUGUCCGGAAUUAUUGGGCGUAAAGAGCUUGUAGGCGGUUUGUCGCGUCUGCCGUGAAAAUCCGGGGCUCAACCCCGGACUUGCGGUGGGUACGGGCAGACUAGAGUGUGGUAGGGGAGACUGGAAUUCCUGGUGUAGCGGUGAAAUGCGCAGAUAUCAGGAGGAACACCGAUGGCGAAGGCAGGUCUCUGGGCCACUACUGACGCUGAGAAGCGAAAGCGUGGGGAGCGAACAGG